CACGGGGGGAGCAAGCGUUGUUCGGAAUCACUGGGCGGAAAGGGCGUGUAGGCGGUCAGGUAAGUGGGACGUGAAAUGCCUCGGCUCACCCGAGGAGCGGCGUCCCAUACUGCUUGGCUUGAGUACGGGAGAGGAUGUGGGAAUUCCUGGUGUAGCGGUGAAAUGCGUAGAUAUCAGGAGGAACACCGGUGGCGAAGGCGCACAUCUGGCCCGAUACUGACGCUGAGGCGCGAAAGCUAGGGGAGCAAACGGG
rnacentral:rRNA from 1 species